GAUGAACGCUGGCGGCGUGCUUAACACAUGCAAGUCGAGCGAGUGAGUUCUUCGGAACGAUCUAGCGGCGGACGGGUGAGUAACACGUGGGCAACCUGCCUCAUAGAGGGGGAUAGCCUCCUGAAAGGGAGAUUAAUACCGCAUAAAAUUAUCGAGUGGCAUCACAUGGUAAUCAAAGGAGUAAUCCGCUAUGAGAUGGGCCCGCGGCGCAUUAGCUAGUUGGUGAGGUAACGGCUCACCAAGGCGACGAUGCGUAGCCGACCUGAGAGGGUGAUCGGCCACAUUGGGACUGAGACACGGCCCAGCCUCCUACGGGAGGCAGCAGUGGGGAAUAUUGCACAAUGGGGGAAACCCUGAUGCAGCAACGCCGCGUGAGUGAUGAAGGUCUUCGGAUUGUAAAGCUCUGUCUUUGGGGACGAUAAUGACGGUACCCAAGGAGGAAGCCACGGCUAACUACGUGCCAGCCGCCGCCGUAA
rnacentral:rRNA from 1 species